ACUUAAAUUGAAGAGUUUGAUCAUGGCUCAGAUUGAACGCUGGCGGCAGGCCUAACACAUGCAAGUCGAGCGGUAGCACAGAGAGCUUGCUCUCGGGUGACGAGCGGCGGACGGGUGAGUAAUGUCUGGGAAACUGCCUGAUGGAGGGGGAUAACUACUGGAAACGGUAGCUAAUACCGCAUAACGUCGCAAGACCAAAGUGGGGGACCUUCGGGCCUCAUGCCAUCAGAUGUGCCCAGAUGGGAUUAGCUAGUAGGUGGGGUAACGGCUCACCUAGGCAACGAUCCCUAGCUGGUCUGAGAGGAUGACCAGCCACACUGGAACUGAGACACGGUCCAGACUCCUACGGGAGGCAGCAGUGGGGAAUAUUGCACAAUGGGCGCAAGCCUGAUGCAGCCAUGCCGCGUGUGUGAAGAAGGCCUUCGGGUUGUAAAGCACUUUCAGCGGGGAGGAAGGCGGUGAGGUUAAUAACCUCAUCGAUUGACGUUACCCGCAGAAGAAGCACCGGCUAACUCCGUGCCAGCAGCCGCGGUAAUACGGAGGGUGCAAGCGUUAAUCGGAAUUACUGGGCGUAAAGCGCACGCAGGCGGUCUGUCAAGUCGGAUGUGAAAUCCCCGGGCUCAACCUGGGAACUGCAUUCGAAACUGGCAGGCUAGAGUCUUGUAGAGGGGGGUAGAAUUCCAGGUGUAGCGGUGAAAUGCGUAGAGAUCUGGAGGAAUACCGGUGGCGAAGGCGGCCCCCUGGACAAAGACUGACGCUCAGGUGCGAAAGCGUGGGGAGCAAACAGGAUUAGAUACCCUGGUAGUCCACGCCGUAAACGAUGUCGAUUUGGAGGUUGUGCCCUUGAGGCGUGGCUUCCGGAGCUAACGCGUUAAAUCGACCGCCUGGGGAGUACGGCCGCAAGGUUAAAACUCAAAUGAAUUGACGGGGGCCCGCACAAGCGGUGGAGCAUGUGGUUUAAUUCGAUGCAACGCGAAGAACCUUACCUGGUCUUGACAUCCACAGAACUUUCCAGAGAUGGAUUGGUGCCUUCGGGAACUGUGAGACAGGUGCUGCAUGGCUGUCGUCAGCUCGUGUUGUGAAAUGUUGGGUUAAGUCCCGCAACGAGCGCAACCCUUAUCCUUUGUUGCCAGCGGUUAGGCCGGGAACUCAAAGGAGACUGCCAGUGAUAAACUGGAGGAAGGUGGGGAUGACGUCAAGUCAUCAUGGCCCUUACGACCAGGGCUACACACGUGCUACAAUGGCAUAUACAAAGAGAAGCGACCUCGCGAGAGCAAGCGGACCUCAUAAAGUAUGUCGUAGUCCGGAUUGGAGUCUGCAACUCGACUCCAUGAAGUCGGAAUCGCUAGUAAUCGUAGAUCAGAAUGCUACGGUGAAUACGUUCCCGGGCCUUGUACACACCGCCCGUCACACCAUGGGAGUGGGUUGCAAAAGAAGUAGGUAGCUUAACCUUCGGGAGGGCGCUUACCACUUUGUGAUUCAUGACUGGGGUGAAGUCGUAACAAGGUAACCGUAGGGGAACCUGCGGUUGGAUCACCUCCUUACCUUAAAGAA
rnacentral:rRNA from 1 species